rnacentral:rRNA from 1 species
CCUAAUUGAUUUUGCUAGUAGUCAUAUGCUUGUCUCAAUGAUUAAGCCAUGCAUGUCUAAGUAUGAACUAAUUUAGACUAUGAAAUUGUGGAUGGCUUAUUAAAUCAGUUAUAUUUUUUUGGAUGGUACCAUACUACUCAGAUAAGCAUAGUAAUUCUAGAGCUAAUACAUGCCGCAAGUCCCGACUCUUUGGAAGGGAUGCAUAUUUUAGAUAAAAGGUCGAUGCGGGCUUGCCCACUUCUCUGAUGAAUCAUGAUAACUCUUUGCAUCGCACAUCCCUUGUGCUUGUGAUUCCUUAUUCAAGUUUUUGUCCUAUCAACUUUCGAUGGUAGGAUACAGGCCUACCAUGGUGGUGAUGGGUGAUAGAGAAUUAGGGUUCGAUUCCAGAGAGAGAACUUGAGAAAUGGCUACCACAUCUAAGGAAGGCAGUAGGCGUGAAAAUUACCAAAUCCUGACAUGGGGAGGUAGUGACAAUAAAUAACAAUACUAGGCUCAUUAAGUUUGGUGAUUGGAAUGAAUACAAUCUAAAUCCCUUAACGAGGAUCAGUUAGAGGGAAAGUCUAGUUCCAACAGUCGUGGUAAUUCCAGCUCUAAUAGCGUAUAUUUAAUUUGUUGCAGUUAAAAAUCUCGUAGUUGGAACUUGGAUCGUAAAGGUUGGUCCGCGUAUUUGGUGUGCACCUUCCCUUCCAUCCCUUUUUUUGGUGGCAUGAUCCUAGCCUUAAUUGGCUAGGUCAUGGCUCAGACAUUGUUACUUUGAAAAAACUAGAGUGCUCAAAGCAAGCAUAUGGUCUGAAUACAUUAGCAUGGAAUAAUGUGAUAGGAGUCUGGUCCUAUUGUGUUGGCCCUCGGGACUGGAGUAAUGAUUAAUAGGGACUAUCAGGGGCAUUCAUAUUUCAUUACUAGAGGUGAAAUUCUUAGAUUUAUGAAAGACAGCCCACUGUGAAAGCAUUUUCCAAGGAAGUUUUCAUUAAUCAAGAAUGAAAGUUGGGGGCUUGAAUAUGAUCAGAUACCAUGAUAGUCUCAACCAUAAAUGAUGCCAACCAGGGAUAAGUAGAUGUUGCUCUAAGGACUCCACCAACACCUUCUGAGAAAUCAGAGUGUUUCGAGGGGAGUAUGGUUGCAAGGCUGAAACUUGAAGGUAUUGACGGAAUGGCACCACUAGGAGUGGAGCCUGCGACUUAAUUUGACUCAACAUGGGGAAACUUACCAGGUCCAGACAUAGUAGGGAUUGACAGAUUGAGAGCUCUUUCUUGAUUUUAUGGGUGGUGGUGCAUGUCUGUUCUUAGUUAGUGGAACAAUUUGUCUGUUUAAGCCUGAUAAUGAACAAGACCUCAACCUACUAACUAGCUACGUGAAGGUUCCCCUUUGUGACCAGCUUCUUAUAGGGACUAUGGUCAUUUAGGCCAUGGAAGUUUGAGGCAAUAAUAGGUCUAUGAUGCUCUUAGAUGUUCUAGGCUGCACGCCUGCUACACUAAUGCAACCAAGGAGUUUUUCUUCCUGAUUCGAUAGGAUCAGGAAAUCUUCUCAAAUUGCAUCAUGAUGGGGAUAGACCACUGUAAUUAUUGGUCUUCAAUGAGGAAUUCCUAGUAAGCACAUGUCAUCAACUCAUGUUGACUACAUCCUUGCCCUUUGUACACACCACCUGUCACACUGUAGGUUUUAACCCUGUACAAAAAUUACCAGCAUAUGAAUUCUAAAACACAGAAAAGAAAUAAUGCGAGAGAAUAACACUUAAAACACAUAUACACAUAUAUUUUCCCUUGUAUCCCAA